rnacentral:rRNA from 1 species
CCUACGGGAGGCAGCAGUGGGGAAUAUUGCACAAUGGGGGAAACCCUGAUGCAGCGACGCCGCGUGAAGGAAGAAGUAUUUCGGUAUGUAAACCUCUAUUAGCAGGGAAGAAAAUGACGGUACCUGACUAAGAAUCCCCGGCUAACUACGUGCCAGCAGCCGCGGUAAUACGUAGGGGGCAAGCGUUAUCCGGAUUUACGGGGUGUAAAGGGAGCGUAGGUGGUUUGGCAAGGCAGAAGUGAAAGCCCGGGGCUCAACGCCGGGACUGCUUUUGAAACUGUUGAACUAGAUUGCAGGAGAGGAAAGUGGAAUUCCAAGUGUAGCGGUGAAAUGCGUAGAUAUAAGGAAGAACACCAGUGGCGAAGGCGGCUUACUGGACUGUAAAUGACGCUGAGGCUCGAAAGCGUGGGGAGCGAACAGGAUUAGAUACCCCGGUAGUC